rnacentral:lncRNA from 1 species
GAAAAUCAUGCCACUCCUCUCAGUAACCCUUGAUCUCCCCAAAUUGUGAGGCAUUCAUUUCCUGAUCACUGGAUCUCUUAUAAACAUCUCAGAACUCCUGCCUUUGGAUAACUAGACUUGGAAAUUUCCAUAGAAGCUGGACAAAAGGAAGCAAUUUGUCCUGUGUUCUAGAAAAUGAAAUACUUCUACCAGCAUGGGAUCAAAAGGAGCCAACACGGAUGUUUAGUGUGCAAUUGCAGUAAUACAAGGAGAAGUUGGGUUGCUAAGUCGUGUCUGACUCUUUGCGACUCCAUGGAC